UACGUAGGGUGCAAGCGUUGCCCGGAUUUACUGGGCGUAAAGGGCGCGUAGGCGGCCUCCGCAAGUCGACUGUGAAAUCUCCGGGCUUAACCCGGAAAGGUCAGCCGAAACUGCGGGGCUAGAGUGCAGAAGGGGCAACUGGAAUUCUCGGUGUAGCGGUGAAAUGCGUAGAUAUCGAGAGGAACACCUGCGGCGAAGGCGGGUUGCUGGGCUGACACUGACGCUGAAGCGCGAAAGCUAGGGGAGCGAACGGG
rnacentral:rRNA from 1 species